rnacentral:rRNA from 1 species
AUGGCUGGUGUAGGGAAUGAGCAACAAAAAACCCUGAGGAGCUUCCCUGACGGUUCACGAAAUUGCUAUACACUGCCAUCCGCUUUUGGUAAGAAGUUCCUGUUGAGGACCACAUUUACUUACGGCAACUAUGAUUGGUUGAACAGGAGUAUGGACGGGUCAUCAUUUCUGUUUGGGCUCCAUAUUGGCGUCAAUUUCUGGGAUACGGUGAACUUGACAAAUUGGGAUCCAUCGCUCACGGUCUGGAAGGAGGUGCUCACGGUUGCUCUAGGCAACUCGGUGUCGGUCUGUCUGAUAAACUUCGGUACAGGGACUCCGUUCAUGUCUGCUCUGGAGCUGAGGCCACUGCUAGAUGCGAUGUACCCUUUUGUGAAUACUUCGGUAUCAGUCGGACACUUUAGACGGAUCAGAUUUGGUGAAGCCACUGACUUUAUCACAAGAUAUCCAGUGGACCCUUAUGACCGGUUCUGGGAGGCUUGGUCUUUCUACUAUAAGACCUACCCCUGGAUGACCCUAAACACUAGCGAUAAAGUGGAGAUUCUCCCGGGCGACGACUUCUUCAAUGUGCCGAUGGCCAUCUUCCAGAAGGCCACGACCCUAGACACAAACUACACCUUCAUGGGACUCAACAUUGGAAUGGGCCCCAAUCUGAAGCACGAGAAUAGCCUUCUCCUGAUAUUCCACUUUGCAGAAAUUAAUGGUAACAACCCGAACAGAAGGUUCGACAUCUAUAACGCCGGCGAUUUGCUGCACCGGGGCUUCUCCCCGUCGCGAUUACAGGCCAACAGCGGGCAGUUCUUGUAUAAUGACGACGCAUUUUACACCCUGAACAAGACACGCAGCUCAAGCCUUCCCCCGCUCAUCAACGCGCUCGAGGUGUACUCACUCAUUCGGAUGGAAAACUUCACCACCGACUCUGAGGAUGGUAAGAUCGGCCAUCGUUCUCGCGGUUUCUAUUCGGUUUCAUCUCUAUCCUACCCCAGCUUGCUUGGGACAAAAGUCAUGUCUGUUUUCAUUCUCUCCUGUUGUUGCAGUCAAUUCCAUGAAAGAGGUAAAAGCACACUACGAUUUGACAAGAAUAGACUGGAAUGGUGA